rnacentral:lncRNA from 1 species
UUUUUUCAAAAGAAUGUUAGCUACUUAGCUACCAUGGAAACAUAUUGUGACACUGAAGCACAUUGCUGUUCCAGAUGUGAUGUCCAGAAGUUGAAGAAAAAUCUAUAACAUGCCACAUAAAAUAGACAUAAAGGUCACAGACAUAAAGAAACAAAACAAACAAUGAUCCUAUACAAUAUCAGGAACAUCUACAAAAAGACAGCGAGAGAUCCUGAAAGAAAAAAGAGAAGGGAGAAGUGAAAUCUAUAUCUGAGGUUAUAAAGAGAGAACAAAGAGAGAGGCAAUGGAACUGCAACCCAAUGGAAUAGAAGACAGACUUUAAAGAGAACAGUUGCAAUGGAGACCUACCUAUCAGGCAACACACCACCUCAGUCACCAGAUGACUUGCAGCCAGAACAUGAGGCCAACAUAACUGCCCCUAACUUACCUGACCCUGAUGCACACCCUGAUACCCACUCCUCAUCAUCUGCAACAGGAAGGAAAAGUUGAAUACUUGCUGGAAGGAAAAAGGUUGGAAGAGGUCGUUCAAAAACAUUCAGAGAUCUUUGCAUGAAAAAUGUCAAACUUGAUAAUGCUUUACGGAAAGCUGAGAAAUACAAAAAAAGGUAUGAGAACGGUUGAAGAAAAUGGAGAGACAAGAUUCCCCUAAGACAAAACAGCAGAUGACGGGAACUCCCAAAAACUUGAAAAGGAUUUUAUUGUUUCAAAAAGCCAUCAUUGCAGAGUUAAAGCAAAAGUAUCAAAAAUGCGCAGUGCCAAGGACAAACAAGUGGCUUCAAAAAUGCUCAGAGUUAACAUCCUGAGAAAGUAUCUCCUGGUCAAAGCCGCAAACAGAAUUUGGAUUUUCAGCAAAAGCAACAACUGCAAAUGAAAACAGGCCAUCAAGUCUUCAAUACUCCAGGAAAAAUCAGUGUUACAGAAUUAGCACAGCCACAGAAUAGAAAAUCACUAGAUUCUAUGGACGUGAUGACAACAGUAGAGCAACAACAGGAAAAAGGACACACUAAUGAGGAACAAGAAGAAAAAGUAGAAACGUUUCUUGAAUUGCACAAUUCAGCAGUGGUGGGAAAAGUACCCAUUUGUCAUACUUGUCAUACAUAGAAAAUGACUCAAGUAAAAGUGAAAGUCACCCAGUUCAAUACUACUUGAGUAAAAGCCUACAAGUAUUUGGUUUUAAAUAUACUUAAGUAUAAAAGGUAAAGGUAAAAGUAAAAGUAUAAAUCUUUUCAAAUUCCUUAUAGAAAGCAAACCAGGCUGCAUCAUUUUAUUUUUUUUAUUUUAAAUUUACGGAUAUCCAGGGGCACGCUCCAACACUCAGACAUAAUUUACAAAUGAAGCAUGUGUUUAGUGAGUCCGCCAGAUCAGAGGCAGUAGGGAUGACCAGGGAUGUUCUCUUGAUAAGUGUGUGAAUUAGACAAUUGUUCUGUCCUGCUAACCAUUCAAAAUGUAAUGAGUACUUUUGGUUGUCAGGGAAAAUGUAUGAAGUAAAAAGUACAUAAUUUUCUUAAGGAAUAUCGUGAAGUAAAAGUACAAAAAAAUAUAAAUAGCCAAGUAAAGUACAGAUACCCCCCCAAAAUACUUAAGCAAUACUUUCAAGUAUUUUUACUUAAGUACUUUACACCACUGCAAUUCAGGACAUUUAUCAGAAGUUUAAGAGAGAAUAUUCAGAGAUUAACAUGUCCUACUAUGAAUUCUGCAAAAUACAUAUUUUUUGGGUUGUCAAGCCAACAGUCCAGGACAUGCCUCUGCAAAACCCAUGUUCACGACGGACAAACAACAGUAUCACAAAGUGAUCAGCUGCAGCAACAUUGAGAACCUUAUUGAGUCUUUGUGCUUUGAGAACCUGAAGAAAGAGUGCAUAUACAGAGAGUACUUCCUUUGCCAAGCAAAACAGCUUAAAACAUCUGACUUUGAUGCUGGUGAGCAGACAUGGUGAUUUGAGUGGAAAAACAUAGCUGGAGAGAGAGAGAAGAAAAACAAAGAGGGAAACAUGGAGAAGUUCACCGUACAUUAGACAGUACAAGUAAAGGUGUGUGACACACUGCAGAUUCUACUGGAGGACUUCUUCAAAGGAUUGAUAUACAAGUUGGGGAAACACGUGUACAACAUUGACACCAAUACUCCAAACUGAGAGAAUUAAAAGAGAAUCUGGGGAAAGAGGAGAUCAUCGCGCAUAUUGACUUUUCAGAGAACUGCCUGUUUAAAUACAGCAGUGAAAUCCAGGCAGUUCACUUUGGUGAUUCUCACAAGCAGGUGACCCUCCACACCAGUGUUGGAUAUAUCACAAAUGAUACAGUUUCACGUUGCUCACCGAGCUCUUCUAUGCAGCAUGACCCCUCUGCUAUCUGGGCCUAUUUCUCAAAACAACUGGCCUACUUCCUUGAGUUCAGCCCAUCGGCUACUGCUGUACACUUUGUGAGUGAUGGGCCCACAAUCCAGUAUAGCUCUAAAAAUAAUUCGGACUAUCUCUCCACCCUUCCCUUUGAAAUGGGCUUCCAGAGAGUCACACAGAAUUUCUUAGAAGCUGACAUGGAAAAGGCCCAGCUGAUGGUUUAGGAUCAGCUGUGAAACGAAGAGCAGAUGGAAUUGUGGCACAAGGAAAUUACCUCCCAAAUGGAAGAACUGUAUUUGUGGAACUGUCAAAAGAUCAGUCAGCUAUCAAACUCUUAUAUAUAUCAGAGGAGUAGAUAGAGAACAUGGAGGCCCUCCUACUGGAUCACCUGGAGACAAUCUGUGGGACAAUGAAGAUACACCAGAACUCCAAGAAAACCAGUAUCUUGUGGAAGAGGUCGACUGUUCACCCCAGAGCAGGAGAUCCACAUUGUAAAUAUGGUCAUUGCAAAUAACUGCAUCAGACUCAGAAAACUGCAGGACCACACAAUGGCAGAUAACAC